GGGCGGCAGGCCUAACACAUGCAAGUCGAGCGGUAGAGAGAAGCUUGCUUCUCUUGAGAGCGGCGGACGGGUGAGUAAUGCCUAGGAAUCUGCCUGGUAGUGGGGGAUAACGUUCGGAAACGGACGCUAAUACCGCAUACGUCCUACGGGAGAAAGCAGGGGACCUUCGGGCCUUGCGCUAUCAGAUGAGCCUAGGUCGGAUUAGCUAGUUGGUGAGGUAAUGGCUCACCAAGGCGACGAUCCGUAACUGGUCUGAGAGGAUGAUCAGUCACACUGGAACUGAGACACGGUCCAGACUCCUACGGGAGGCAGCAGUGGGGAAUAUUGGACAAUGGGCGAAAGCCUGAUCCAGCCAUGCCGCGUGUGUGAAGAAGGUCUUCGGAUUGUAAAGCACUUUAAGUUGGGAGGAAGGGUUGUAGAUUAAUACUCUGCAAUUUUGACGUUACCGACAGAAUAAGCACCGGCUAACUCUGUGCCAGCAGCCGCGGUAAUACAGAGGGUGCAAGCGUUAAUCGGAAUUACUGGGCGUAAAGCGCGCGUAGGUGGUUUGUUAAGUUGGAUGUGAAAUCCCCGGGCUCAACCUGGGAACUGCAUUCAAAACUGACUGACUAGAGUAUGGUAGAGGGUGGUGGAAUUUCCUGUGUAGCGGUGAAAUGCGUAGAUAUAGGAAGGAACACCAGUGGCGAAGGCGACCACCUGGACUAAUACUGACACUGAGGUGCGAAAGCGUGGGGAGCAAACA
rnacentral:rRNA from 1 species